rnacentral:rRNA from 1 species
UACAGAGGGUGCGAGCGUUGUCCGGAAUCACUGGGCGUAAAGGGCGCGUAGGUGGCACUCCAAGUCCGUGGUGAAAGCUCGAUGCUUAACAUCGAGUCGGCCACGGAAACUGGGGAGCUGGAGCACUGUAGGGGCAGAUGGAAUUCCGGGUGUAGCGGUGGAAUGCGUAGAGAUCCGGAAGAACACCGGUGGCGAAGGCGGUCUGCUGGGCAGUUGCUGACACUGAUGCGCGACAGCGUGGGGAGCAAACAGG